rnacentral:rRNA from 1 species
UACAGAGGGUGCAAGCGUUGUUCGGAAUUAUUGGGCAUAAAGCGCGUGUAGGCGGUGAUGCAUGUCGGGUGUGAAAGCCCUCAGCUUAACUGAGGAAGUGCGCCCGAAACUGCAUCGCUGGAGUGUCGGAGAGGAAGGCGGAAUUCCCGGUGUAGAGGUGAAAUUCGUAGAUAUCGGGAGGAACACCAGUGGCGAAGGCGGCCUUCUGGACGAACACUGACGCUGAGACGCGAAAGCGUGGGUAGCAAACAGG